rnacentral:rRNA from 1 species
UACAGAGGUCUCAAGCGUUGUUCGGAUUCAUUGGGCGUAAAGGGUGCGUAGGUGGCGCCGUAAGUCGGGUGUGAAAUUUCGGAGCUUAACUCCGAAACUGCAUUCGAUACUGCGGUGCUUGAGGACUGGAGAGGAGACUGGAAUUCAUGGUGUAGCAGUGAAAUGCGUAGAGAUCAUGAGGAAGACCAGUGGCGAAGGCGGCUCACUGGCCCGGUACUGACGCUGAGGCACGAAAGCGUGGGGAGCAAACAGG